AGUGAACGCUGGCGGUAGGCCUAACACAUGCAAGUCGAACGGCAGCACAGGAGAGCUUGCUCUCUGGGUGGCGAGUGACGGACGGGUGAGGAAUACAUCGGAAUCUACUCUGUCGUGGGGGAUCACGUAGGGAAACUUACGCUAAUACCGCAUACGACCUACGGGUGAAAGCAGGGGAUCUUCGGACCUUGCGCGAUUGAAUGAGCCGAUGUCGGAUUAGCUAGUUGGCGGGGUAAAGGCCCACCAAGGCGACGAUCCGUAGCUGGUCUGAGAGGAUGAUCAGCCACACUGGAACUGAGACACGGUCCAGACUCCUACGGGAGGCAGCAGUGGGGAAUAUUGGACAAUGGGCGCAAGCCUGAUCCAGCCAUACCGCGUGGGUGAAGAAGGCCUUCGGGUUGUAAAGCCCUUUUGUUGGGAAAGAAAUCCAGCUGGCUAAUACCCGGUUGGGAUGACGGUACCCAAAGAAUAAGCACCGGCUAACUUCGUGCCAGCCGCCGCCGUAA
rnacentral:rRNA from 1 species